rnacentral:rRNA from 1 species
GAUGAACGCUGGCGGCGUGCCUAAUACAUGCAAGUCGAGCGAACAGACGAGGAGCUUGCUCCUCUGACGUUAGCGGAGGACGGGUGAGUAACACGUGGAUAACCUACCUAUAAGACUGGGAUAACUUCGGGAAACCGGAGCUAAUACCGGAUAAUAUAUUGAACCGCAUGGUUCAAUAGUGAAAGACGGUUUUGCUGUCACUUAUAGCUGCAUCCGGGCCGCAUUAGCUAGUUGGUACGGUAACGGGCUACCAAGGCAACGAUGCGUAGCCGACCGGAGGGGGUGAUCGGCCACACGGGAGCUGGGACACGGUCCAGGGGCCUACGGGAGGCAGCAGUAGGGAAUCGUCCGCAAUGGGCGAAAGCCUUACGGAGCAACGCGGCGUGAGUGAUGAAGGUCUUCGGAUCGUAAAACUCUGUUAUGAGGGAAGAACAAAUGUGGAAGGAACUAUGCACGGCUUGACGGUACCUAGUCAGAAAGCCACGGCUAACUACGUG